UCCAUUAUCUUUCUAAAAUUAAAAUGAUAAAAACUAAAAAGAUUAGUUAGAUUUAUACAUUUUAAUGCAAUGAUUAAAAUUAAUGUAUUUUAUUGUUUUAUUGAAAUUUCAAAAAAUGAUGUAAUUAAUGUAAAAUUACCAUAUAGUUCUGUGGAUCUAAUUCACCUUACAAAUAGACUUAUAAAUAGGGAUGACAAUUUGACCCAUAUUCAUCGGAUAUCC
rnacentral:lncRNA from 1 species